CGGGGUGCAGCAGGCGCGAAAACUUUACAAUGCGGGAAACCGUGAUAAGGGGACACCGAGUGCCAGCAUCAUAUGCUGGCUGUCCAGGUGUGUAAACUACACCUGUUAGCAAGGGCCGGGCAAGACCGGUGCCAGCCGCCGCGGUAACACCGGCGGCCCGAGUGGUGAUCGUGAUUAUUGGGUCUAAAGGGUCCGUAGCCGGUUUGGUCAGUCCUCCGGGAAAUCUGACGGCUCAACCGUUAGGCUUUCGGGGGAUACUGCCAGGCUUGGAACCGGGAGAGGUAAGAGGUACUACAGGGGUAGGAGUGAAAUCUUGUAAUCCCUGUGGGACCGCCUGUGGCGAAGGCGUCUUACCAGAACGGGUUCGACGGUGAGGGACGAAAGCUGGGGGCACGAACCGGAUUAGAUACCCGGGUAGUCCCAGCCGUAAACGAUGCUCGCUAGGUGUCAGGCAUGGCGCGACCGUGUCUGGUGCCGCAGGGAAGCCGUGAAGCGAGCCACCUGGGAAGUACGGCCGCAAGGCUGAAACUUAAAGGAAUUGGCGGGGGAGC
rnacentral:rRNA from 1 species